rnacentral:rRNA from 1 species
AUUGAACGCUGGCGGCAUGCCUUACACAUGCAAGUCGAACGGUAACAGGUCUUCGGAUGCUGACGAGUGGCGAACGGGUGAGUAAUACAUCGGAACGUGCCUAGUAGUGGGGGAUAACUACUCGAAAGAGUGGCUAAUACCGCAUGAGAUCUACGGAUGAAAGCAGGGGAUCGCAAGACCUUGUGCUACUAGAGCGGCCGAUGGCAGAUUAGGUAGUUGGUGGGAUAAAAGCUUACCAAGCCGACGAUCUGUAGCUGGUCUGAGAGGACGAUCAGCCACACUGGGACUGAGACACGGCCCAGACUCCUACGGGAGGCAGCAGUGGGGAAUUUUGGACAAUGGGCGCAAGCCUGAUCCAGCAAUGCCGCGUGCAGGAUGAAGGCCUUCGGGUUGCAAACUGCUUUUGUACGGAACGAAAAGCCCUGGGUUAAUACCCUGGGGUCAUGACUGUACCGUAAGAAUAAGCACCGGCUAACUACGUGCCAGCCGCCGCGGUAACAC